GACAGAGGGUGCAAACGUUGUUCGGAAUUACUGGGCGUAAAGCGUGUGUAGGUGGCUGCGUAAGUCGGAUGUGAAAGCCCUGGGCUCAACUCAGGAAGUGCACUCGAUACUGCGUAGCUCGAGUACCGGAGAGGUUGGUAGAAUUCUCGGUGUAGAGGUGAAAUUCGUAGAUAUCGAGAGGAAUACCUGUGGCGAAGGCGGCCAACUGGACGAGUACUGACACUGAGACACGAAAGCGUGGGAGCAAACAGG
rnacentral:rRNA from 1 species